GUGCCAGCCGCCGCGGUAAUACGGAGGGUGCGAGCGUUAAUCGGAAUUACUGGGCGUAAAGCGCACGUAGGUGGUUGGGUAAGUCGGAUGUGAAAGCCCUGGGCUUAACCUGGGAACUGCACCCGAUACUGCCCGGCUAGAGUAUGGGAGAGGGAAGCGGAAUUUCCGGUGUAGCGGUGAAAUGCGUAGAUAUCGGAAGGAACACCAAUGGCGAAGGCAGCUUCCUGGCCCAAUACUGACGCUCAGGUGCGAAAGCGUGGGGAUCAAACAGGAUUAGAAACCCCGGUAGUCC
rnacentral:rRNA from 1 species